UUUUUUUUUUUAAAGCUCAGAUUUACUUCUAUGUGAAUGUGAGUGUGAUAUGGACUUGGUCCUGGCAUUGGUUCCACAGAUCUGCCGGGUUUUCAAUGUGUUCUCCUUUCUCUUCCUUUCCUCUAUUGGAAGACUAUCCUUCCCAAAUCUCAUCUCGUGAAUGAAGCAUAGCUUCUGCAGGUAUGAAGGUCUACCUUUCGUCAAGAAGACACACUCACUUAUAUAGUCCUCAUGGCAGACUGUGGUGUCUGGCACAUAUUUGGCACUCAGAAUGCUUUUGUGGUUGACCUUUUGUCUGAAAUUAAAUAAACUGGGAACUUAUUAUAAAAGAAGAAUAGGUAACCUUUGACGCCCCUCAACUGACACUGAAAAAAUUACAAUUCAGGAGUUCCUGUCAUGGCUCAGUGGUUAAUGAACCCAACUAGUAUCCUUUCUCUUGACUAUCUGUAAGGAUUGGUAUCCUUACAUGGGUUCAAUCUUUGGCCUUGCUCAGUGGGUUAAGGAUCUGGUGCUGCCAUGAAGUAUGGAGUAGGUUGUAGACGCUGCUGGGAUCUGGUGUUGCUGCGGCUACAGAUCUGGCUGGAGCCCUAGCCUGGGAGUCUCCAUACGCCACAAGCAUGGCCCUAAAGAGAAAAAAGGACAAAAAAAAAUUUACCAUUCUUACCAUGAUAACCUUAUGGAAUAUCUUAUGGGAUAGGCCUUGUCUUAGUCGAUUUUUGGCAAGAGAAAUAUCAUCCCAAUAUGAUAUAACAUUAUUUGUAGCUGGCGUGUCAUUAUGGAUUCUCUCAAGGUAUGGCUUUACAGAUAAGUGGCAUGUUCUUUGAAGUAUUUGCUUGCAAAUGACAUAAGGAGCCCAUAUGGCUUGUCAGCAAUUAACCUGGGUCAUAACUGACAAUUCUAAGCCCACCUGAAUUUCAGAAAUCUGAUUCCGCCCUAUUACUUUAAGAACCUUUAAAGUUAAUCUGCUAAAAGAAGCUGAAGAAGAAUGAAUGUGUGUAUAACAGAAUCACUUUGUUGUACAGCAGAAAUUAUCAAAGUUGUAAAUCAACUAUCCUUCAAUAACACUUUAAAAAUGGAAAUAAAAUUAUGCACUAAAGUCUAGGAAUAAGAUCUAAGAUAAGACUUGAGAAAACUAGUUUAUUUCUUUUUAUAGGUAUGGGGAAUUGCACUUCAUUGUUUACCAUCACUGGUAAUCUCAAAAUCAAACAGUUGCAAAGAAAGUAAGUUUUUCUUGAGCACAAACAUAUUACAAGUAUAAUGGUACACUUUAUACCAUCUGCACACUCCUAUUAAAAGACAACAAGAAAGGACCUUAGGGACAAACUAUAUUUAUCUCGUUCCUUCCUUUUCUUUUGAAUAGUUUCACACAUAUGGCCCAGGCAUAAUUUUUUAUUUACCUUUGAGUAAACAGAGCUCAAACGUCUUUCCCCUUAAGAGUUAAAAUACUAGCCUCAAUGGUAAUACCCCAUUGGCUAGCUGGGAAAUGGGAUCACUACCUAGGCAGCUGCUAAUGCUCAUUAGUGAUAUGUGGAGACACAGACCAGCUGUUAAGAAGGAGGAGGAGCAAAUGCAGGAAAAGAAAAAUAGGAACAAAGGAAAGCUGAGGUGUUCCUUCUGUGGUCCUCAUCCUGACUUUUCAUUCAAUUCAAGCAAAUCUGUAGUGAAUAAAUAGAAAUAAUACCAGUAAUCCCAUAAAUUAUGAUGGCUUAAAAAAUGAUGACAUUGUGUCAUAAAACAGAAUACUGUGCAUUAUUCACACUGACCCUAUAGGAUGAGACAGACACCCACAUAGAAGGAAGGUUGGCAGCUAGCAGUCUCCUGAAUUCCAUUUCAAAUCUCCUCAGUGUCAGAGGGAGUUGGACUUCCAAGAGCACCCAUAAUUUUGGAGCCACAAGUCACGGUCAAGUACAUAUGAGUACAUAUAUAUCUUUUAGUAAAAAUACCCAAGAGAAUAUAAGGAGAAAGAAAAAAAUGCAUGCAUCCAUGGGCUAUUUGGUUAUUUAAGCUUCUUGGCGUCAGAAGGAAACUGGGCAAUAAAUUCCGUAAGACCUUUCAAAAGCUCAAGAAAUGUGACAGGAAAUUGGUUUAAAAGGAAAAAAGAGCCAGGUGGUUUCCUCCAUAAUUAAAGAUACAUAAAUAGAUGGCUCAGAUCAAUAGUUAUUUCAUACAUUUACAGACAUAGUUGAGAGGGUACCAUAAAGAAAACCGUUCAAAGGUAACACACAUAAAACCACCUUAAAGCACACUUACUUGUUGAAUAUUACAGCAGCCCUCUGGAAAUACAGCAUGGUAGAAAUGUCUGCCCAGCUGCUGAAGCUGGGUCUUGUGGUUCCCCUAGUGUUUUUCUGGAGCCAAUUAGACCCAUCCUUAUAAACAUAUGUUGGUGACUGUAGGGCUUCUCAGUGCCUCAUCCCUGGGAUAGAAGAGGUUACAGUUCCAGAUCAUUAAAGUGCACUUAGAUUUCCAAGCUCAGGGGAAAUAAGAAAAGAAAUACAGGGGAAGAAAUUGAGUGACCUUUCUUUGUGGACACAAAGAGAAUGUGGGCCGACCCCAUGGAACUAAAUGACGACGUUAAUGAAAGACUAAUACUACCGAAGGCUAAUCAAUCCCAAGAACAGAGCAGUGUCUAUUCCAAAUCCAGGUCCAGAGGUUCAGGUUUUACAUUCUCCAAAUGUCUCUAAUUGCCAGCAUACUUAUCCCAUCAUUUCUGAUAAAUACUCUCCAGUGAAAAUGGAGGACCAAACUCUCCUUGUAUGCCAUACCAGUAGGAUCUUAAAUUCUAAUCAUUCAAAUUAAUCUGAGCAAGGCUGACCUAAUGAGGAGCCUUAAGUAUUAAGCAGCUCUAUAAUGUCAAAAAGAAAAAUUCUGAUGAAAGGCCAGAAAAAUCUCUCUCCUCUGAAUCUAUCUGUGAUGCUAAUUCCUCCAUGUCGUCCUGGUGGCCAAAAUAUGGAUGUUAUCAGAUUACAUGCUGCAUCUCAGCAAAGUGAGUUACAAUAAAAAUUCAUUUCUAAAGAUUCCAAAUUCUAGAUACCUGUAUUUUAUGAGCUGUGGCCACCACAAACAUGAAGCCUGGAAUAAUCACUGAAUAGUCCUAUCUGUCAGUGUAUUUGGAGGAGGUUCAAUCAGAAGAACACAGCCAAAAAUGAUGACUAUAAAAAAGAACAAAAAGACCAUCCUGACUAUAGAGAUUGAGAUAAUCCACGAAGGUCUUUAUGGGGCCUUACCAUUUUAUAGGGAAUCUUCCUGAAGGAAGUGAUACCUCUGUCCCUUUAUUUCCAUGUCCACGUGAAAACGGCUGCCUGAUAUCCCCCAAUAUGAAGUACAUGUGGGAGAUGGUUUGACUUAUAUGACAGGCUGGUAGGCAGAGAUUAAGUUCACUUUAGGGUACCCUGGGGGUGCCUCAAAGCAAGAGGCCAUCACACAAUUAGAGGCUUGCUUGUGACACUCUGUGGGCAGACUUGCCAUGUGUAUUCGCAAGCCACAGACAGAGUCACCAAACAUCAAUUUUAUUUUUUUUUUAUUUUUUUGUCUUUUUUUGCUAUUUCUUGGGCUGAUCCCACGGCAUAUGGAGGUUCGCAGGCUAGGGGUCGAAUCGGAGCUAUAGCCACUGGCCUACGCCAGAGCCACAGCAACGCAGGAUCCGAGCCACAUCUGCAACCUACACCACAGCUCACAGCAACGCCGGAUCGUUAACCCACUGAGCAAGGGCAGGGACCGAACCCGUAACCUCAUGGUUCCUAGUCAGAUUCGUUAACCACUGCGCCACGACGGGAACUCCCAAACAUCAAUUUUAGAUGUUAAGUGACAAAUCAAAAAUCACAGCAGAGGUAUUCCUUUUUGUCAGGUGUUAAAUUUACUUGCAUGGUUAAUAGCUCUUCAACUGGAUAAGCUCAGUGGUGAGCAAUAAGAUAUAACUCUCCUUUAUAGAAUGAAUUCUCUCUACCUUCACUUCGGUUUAUUCUUGGGGGGCGGGUAUUAAGGGGAAAGAAAAGGAAAUAUGUUCUCAGCCUGUAUGUUAGUCCUCACACUCCUAAAAUAAGCUAUUAAUUUAAUUAAUUGAUAUUUUUUGGCCACAUCCAUAGCAUGUGCAAGUUCUCAGGCCAGGGACUGAAUCUAAAUCACCUCAGUAACUAUGCUCUUUCCUUAAUCCAGCAACUCCUUAAAAUAAACUAUUUUAAGGAUGAGGAAAUGCAGACUCACAGAAGUCCCUUAGGUAGGUGGAAGAAGUUAAAUUAGAAUUCAGAUCUGUCUGAUUGUUUGAUUUUACAAAGAUUGAGCACUAUCAAGUUCUUCCUUCACUCUGUGUACCGGCCACUGCUCUUGUCUAGAAUGGGAAAGUAAUGCCCCCUUCUUUGAAUCUGAGAUGGCUUUGUGACAGCUUUGGCCCAUAGAAUAAAGCAUAAGUAAUGUAGGGGGAUUCUGGAGCUCAAGCCUUAAGAGGCCUUGAAGUGUUUGCUUUGACUCUUGGAAGACAGUGACUAUGGAAAGCACAACUACGCUGUUAAAGAGACAGGCCCUGGAGAAUGAGAGUGCACUGCCCCAUUCAAGCUGCCAGAACUACACCACGUGAACCAGAGACAAGUCAUUCCCAUUAAGUCCUGCACAAGUUGUUGACCUACGGACAAACAAUGAAUGCUGUUGUUCUAAGCCACUAAGUCUUGAAGAGGUUUGUUAUACAGGAAUAGAUAAUUGUUUUUUCUUUUUAAGGCCACACCAGUGGCACAUGGAAGUACACGGGUUAGGGAUCAAAUUGAAGCUGCAGCUGCAGGCCUAUGCUCCCGAUAGCAACCAAGGCCCAGAGCCACAUCCAAGACCUAUGCCACAGCUUAUGGCAAUGGUGGACGCUUGACCCACUGAGCGAGACCUAGGAUCAAACGGAUAAUCCUUACAGACAUGAUGCCAAGUUCUUAAUCUGCUAAGCCACAGUGGGAACUCCCAGAUCAUUUUAAAAGAUUCCACAACUCUGUUUCUUAUUUUGUGAUGCUUGCAUCCCUGGUUAUCCCUACUUCCUUAACUAUGAACUUGGUAAGAAAACUGGCUGAGUCAAAGGGGUGCUUUGGAAAAGACUUAGUUGUUAUUUUAAGCAAGAAGGCAUUGAGUAAUCACAUAGCAUCUGGCACUGUUUCAGGCAUUUAUCCUCACAACAACCUGAUGAGGUAGGUGCUAUUUUUUAAUCCCUGCUUUAGAGUUGAGGAAAGUAAAGCACAGAGGUAAGUACCUGGCAGCUAGAAAAUUGUAGAUCUACUAUCAAAACCAUGCAGCCAGAUUCCAGAGCCUCCCUCUUAAUGAUUGAGCUAUAUAUUACCAGGAUUUUCCUCUUACCCUCUUACUGAUAUUAAAAUUCAGCCAACUGGGAGUUCCUGUCAUGGUGCAGCAGAAACUAAUCCAAAUAGUACCCAUGAGGAUGUAGGUUUGAUUCCUGGCCUCACUCAGUGGCUUAGGAUCCAGCCUUGCCAUGAACUGUGGUGUAGGUCACAGAUGCAGCUUGGAUCCUGAGUUGCUAUGGCUGUGGUGUAGGCUAGCACCUGUAACUCCGAUUCUACUUUCUAGCCUGGGAACUUCCAUAUGCUGCGCGUGAGGCUCUGAAAAAGCAAAAAAAAAAAAAAAAAAAAAAAAAAAAAAAAACAAACAAAAAAAAAAAAAACCAAAAGAAAAAACAACCAACCAACUGAAACAAAUAUCUAAGGAGGUGUAGCAAGAGCUAUGGUUUUGCUUCCCCCCUACCCCCCGGUUGUGCCCGCAACAUGUGGAAAAUUCCUGGACUAGGAAUCGAACAUGCACCACAGCAGUGGCUCCAGCCACAGCAUUGACAUUUCUGGAUCAUUAACCACUAAGUCACCAGGGAACUCCAAGAAUUCUACGUUUAUAGCAGAAAACCAUAAUGUUUGAUCUGUAAAGCUGAACUAUAUACUACCUUAAAGAACACUCCUUGUGGAAUAGAUGCAGACAGGGCACCCAAGAGUACUUAGUGGCUGUAAUGCCGCCAACACAGAAUUAGGAGAUGGGAGGGAGGCCACAAGUAGGAUCAGCCAAGACAUUUGAGAAUAAGGAAUGCAAGGCCAUUGACUGACUCUGUGACCUUAGAAAGUUGCUUUACCUCUCCUAUCAACAAAAUGGGGACCGUGAUGUCUACCCCAUGGAGUUCUUGUGAAGAUUAAAAGAGAUGAGUGUACGUGCAUGUACCUGUGUAGGUUACUGUUACCAGUAUUACGUAUUGCACACACUCUUGUAUUAGGAACCGAAAUUAAAGGAGAUAAAUUAGGAGGCUGAAAGAAAGAAUGCCAGGCUGGAAGACAGUGAAGAAACCUGGAUCAGACAAUAAGGUGGAAAGAAAUGAAGCAAGUAUCAUUCCUAACAGUCAAGAGAGGAAAUUCAGUCAUGCAGCCUUUUAAACAAUCUCAUCAGAUACUGUCCAGAGUCUCCACAGGUUAAAUCCAACUAGGCAGUGCAUUAGUGAAUGUUCUGGAAAGCUCUAGUCAGAGGUCAGGAUUCCCUAAUAGAAUCAUCGGAGGACAGAUGAAAGAAUACUCACAGAGAUUAUCGGGCUCCACCUCUUUAUUUCACAAAUGAAGAAAGAUCCAGAGAGGAAAAGGGACUUGGCAUAGUUUAGAUUCCACAUAGAAGUGAUAUGAUAUAGUAUUUGUCUUUCUCUUUCUGACUUACUUAGUAUGAGAAUCUCUAGUUACAUUAGUGUUGCUGCAAAUGGCAUUGUUUUGUUCUUUUUUAUGGCUGAGUAACAGUCCAUUGUAGAUAUGUACCCUAUCUUUGUAAUUCAUUUGUUGAUGGUUGUUUAGGUUGUUUCUAUGUCUCGGCUAGUAUGACUAGUGCUGCAAUGAACCUAUCUACAAAACAGAAACAGACUCACAGACAUAAAGAACAGAUUUCUGGUUGCCAAGGGGAAUGGGGAGAAAGAGGGAAGGUUGGGGAAUUUGAGAUUAGAGGAUGCAAACUAUUACAUUUAGAAUGGAUAAGCAAUGAGGUCUUACUGUACAUCAUAGGGAACUAUAUACAAUCUCUUGGGAUAGAACAUGGAUGGAAGAUAAUAUAAGAAAAAGAAUAUAUCCAUAUAUAUGUAUGUGUGUGUGCAUUACUGGACCACUAUGCUGUACAGCAGAAAUUAAUAUAACACUAUAAAUAAGCUAUACUCUAAUAAAAAUAAAAUUUGCUGAAGGGGAAAAAAAAACCCUGAAGUGUCUCUUGGGUGAAGAAAACCUAACCUGAAAUAGCAU
ensembl:lncRNA